rnacentral:rRNA from 1 species
GACGAACGCUGGCGGCGUGCUUAACACAUGCAAGUCGAACGGAAAGGCCCUGCUUUUGUGGGGUGCUCGAGUGGCGAACGGGUGAGUAACACGUGAGUAACCUGCCCUUGACUUUGGGAUAACUUCAGGAAACUGGGGCUAAUACCGGAUAGGAGCUCCUGCUGCAUGGUGGGGGUUGGAAAGUUUCGGCGGUUGGGGAUGGACUCGCGGCUUAUCAGCUUGUUGGUGGGGUAGUGGCUUACCAAGGCUUUGACGGGUAGCCGGCCUGAGAGGGUGACCGGCCACAUUGGGACUGAGAUACGGCCCAGACGGCUACGGGAGGCAGAAGUGGGGAAUAUUGCACAAUGGGCGGAAGCCUGAUGCAGCAACGCCGCGUGCGGGAUGACGGCCUUCGGGUUGUAAACCGCUUUCGCCUGUGACGAAGCGUGAGUGACGGUAAUGGGUAAAGAAGCACCGGCUAACUACGUG